ensembl:lncRNA
NNNNNNNNNNNNNNNNNNNNNNNUCUCUCUCUCUCUCUGUAUUCUUCUCUCUCUCUCUCUCUUCUAUUCUCCUCUCUCUCUCUCUCCUCUCUCUCUCUCUCUCUUCUCUCUCUCUCUCUCUCUCUCUUUGAGUGGAUGCGGAAGUGAGUGCGCGCGGUGAUUGUGAGAGCGACGAACGUGAGUGAGUGUGAGUGAAGCCGUCUUUUGGCCGUUUCUCAAACUUCUCUUUUGUGUGUCCCUUUUAUGUGUUUUUGGAUAGUUUUUUUGUAUAUUAGCUCUACAGGCGCUGUAGAUCGGUUUAGUUUGCUUUAGAAUUUGCAGUGUUUUCCCGUGGAGUCGGCCACCAGCCUUCGCUGGAAGCGUGACUGCUGCGGGGCAAUGGAUUUCACUAAAUUGACAAGGAGUCAUGGUGUUAAAAUUCAAUGUGAUGCAUCUGUGGAAGAAUGCAGUUUGGCGGUUGGCAGUGUUGUUGGCCAUGAGCAUAUUAAGUCGGCAUCGCGUAUGAACAACGCGACUGUUCUUUUUCUUAGUACAGUUGAGAAAACGAGAGAGGUGGUUGAACAGGGUGUAGUGAUCCGUAGCACCCUUACACCUGUACUUCCACUUAGUACCCCCUCAAAGAAAGUUAUAAUUUCUAACGUCCCACCAUUUAUUAAAGACGUUCUCAUUGAAAGAGAGUUGCAGCGGCAUGGAAGGCUGGUCUCUUCCAUUAGGAAGAUUCCGCUUGGCUGUAAAUCGCCGCUUUUAAAACAUUUAGUUUCCUUUAGAAGGCAGGUAUACAUGGUGCUGAGUGGUGGUCAAGAGGAACUAAAUCUGGUGUUGAAAUUUAAGGUGGAGGGGUUUGAUUACGUGGUGUUUGUCACGUCGGAUUCCGCCUUGAAGUGCUUUAAGUGUGGCGGUAUCGGUCAUGUAAUUCGUGACUGUCCCAGAAAGAGUGACAGCGCGGAUCAGCAAACUGAUGGUUUGACUGAGGCAAGCGCGGCUGGUCCCACUACAACUGGCCCCCCAUCAUCUGAUUUUAACUCAUCGGAACCAGGGGUUGGGGAAAGCAUAGUUGAACAAGGCUGUGCUCAGGCUGAAACUGAAUUGGUCAAUCCCGCGUUAGAACAGCCUGUGGAUGUAAGCGGUGACACUCCUGAGCCUGACGUGACUGUGUCGGCGACAGUGACAGUGAAUGACUUGAUCACUAAAGAACUUGCUGCUUUUAGCAGUUCGAAAAAAACAGAGAGUAGGCCUGUUACAACGGAAAGUGGGCUGGAGAGGAAGGAGGAUGAUGGAGCUGCGGGCUCAAAAACAUCUCCGGGGACUGUCCAAGAUAGUGCUAUGGACACAGGGUUCAAAGUACCGAUUAAAAGAAAGAUCGAACUGGUGGAUGGCAAGGGGAGUAAGGUGAAGAAGGCAGGAGAGGCAAAUAGUGAUGAUAGUGACAAUGAGUCUGGGGGGUCUAACUGGUCAGAUUGCUCACAGGGAGAGUUGAACGCAUCUGGUGAAAAACUAGCAGUGAGGUAUAAAGCGGAGGACAUCAGUCGCUUUCUGCGUGACACCAAAGGUAAUCGGAACGUUGAAGUUGAGUUUUAUUUCCCAGAUCGGCCUCAAUUUAUAAACGAUGUUGCCUGCUUCAUUAGAGAAGGCGCCUUUACUGAGAGGGAGGUUGCACGCCUCCGAAAGUUUUUAACUACACUGAGGAAAAAGGUUCGGCUUGAGGAGCCACCCUCGGACACAUAAUGAGCAGUCAAACGAGCACCCUUAGUGUUGCCACGCUGAAUUUAAACGGUGCCAGGGACGGACAGAAAAGAUUAACUCUGUUUGAUUUUAUCGCCUUAAAACAAAUAACUGUUAUGUUUGUGCAGGAAACGCAUUGCGACGUUAAAUGUGAGGUUGAAUGGAGGAAAGACUGGAAGGGGCGGAUUUUUUUCAGUC